rnacentral:rRNA from 1 species
UAAGGGCGCACGGUGGAUGCCUUGGCACUAGAAGCCGAUGAAGGACGUUACUAACGACGAUAUGCUUUGGGGAGCUGUAAGUAAGCUUUGAUCCAGAGAUUUCCGAAUGGGGAAACCCAGCAUGAGUUAUGUCAUGUUAUCGAUAUGUGAAUACAUAGCAUAUCAGAAGGCACACCCGGAGAACUGAAACAUCUUAGUACCCGGAGGAAGAGAAAGAAAAUUCGAUUCCCUUAGUAGCGGCGAGCGAAACGGGAAGAGCCCAAACCAACAAGCUUGCUUGUUGGGGUUGUAGGACACUCUAUACGGAGUUACAAAGGACGACAUUAGACGAAUCAUCUGGAAAGAUGAAUCAAAGAAGGUAAUAAUCCUGUAGUCGAAAAUGUUGUCUCUCUUGAGUGGAUCCUGAGUACGACGGAGCACGUGAAAUUCCGUUGGAAUCUGGGAGGACCAUCUCCUAAGGCUAAAUACUCUCUAGUGACCGAUAGUGAACCAGUACCGUGAGGGAAAGGUGAAAAGCACCCCGGAAGGGGAGUGAAAUAGAACCUGAAACCGUGUGCUUACAAGUAGUCAGAGCCCGUUAAUGGGUGAUGGCGUGCCUUUUGUAGAAUGAACCGGCGAGUUACGAUUUGAUGCAAGGUUAAGCAGUAAAUGUGGAGCCGUAGCGAAAGCGAGUCUGAAUAGGGCGUUUAGUAUUUGGUCGUAGACCCGAAACCAGGUGAUCUACCCUUGGUCAGGUUGAAGUUCAGGUAACACUGAAUGGAGGACCGAACCGACUUACGUUGAAAAGUGAGCGGAUGAACUGAGGGUAGCGGAGAAAUUCCAAUCGAACCUGGAGAUAGCUGGUUCUCUCCGAAAUAGCUUUAGGGCUAGCCUCAAGUGAUGAUUAUUGGAGGUAGAGCACUGUUUGGACGAGGGGCCCCUCUCGGGUUACCGAAUUCAGACAAACUCCGAAUGCCAAUUAAUUUAACUUGGGAGUCAGAACAUGGGUGAUAAGGUCCGUGUUCGAAAGGGAAACAGCCCAGACCACCAGCUAAGGUCCCAAAAUAUAUGUUAAGUGGAAAAGGAUGUGGCGUUGCCCAGACAACUAGGAUGUUGGCUUAGAAGCAGCCAUCAUUUAAAGAGUGCGUAAUAGCUCACUAGUCGAGUGACACUGCGCCGAAAAUGUACCGGGGCUAAACAUAUUACCGAAGCUGUGGAUUGUCCUUUGGACAAUGGUAGGAGAGCGUUCUAAGGGCGUUGAAGCAUGAUCGUAAGGACAUGUGGAGCGCUUAGAAGUGAGAAUGCCGGUGUGAGUAGCGAAAGACGGGUGAGAAUCCCGUCCACCGAUUGACUAAGGUUUCCAGAGGAAGGCUCGUCCGCUCUGGGUUAGUCGGGUCCUAAGCUGAGGCCGACAGGCGUAGGCGAUGGAUAACAGGUUGAUAUUCCUGUACCACCUAUA